rnacentral:tRNA from 1 species
GCCUGGCUGGCUCAGUCAGUAGAGCAUGUGACUUUUGAUCUCAGGGUCGUGAGUUCAAGCCCCAUGUUGGGCU